rnacentral:rRNA from 1 species
AUUGAACGCUAGCGGGAUGCUUUACACAUGCAAGUCGAACGGAGUCGCAGACGGGUGAGUAAUAUAUCGAAACGUGCCCAGUAGCGGGGUAUAACUACUCAACAGAGUGGCUAAUACCGCCACCUAUUGUAGCGGCCGAUAUCGGAGUGGCUAGUUGGUGGGGUAAAGGCUCACCAAGGCAACGAUCCGUAGCUGAGUUGAGAGGACGACCAGCCACACGGGGACUGAGACACGGCCCAGACUCCUACGGGAGGCAGCAGGGGGGAAUUUUGGACAAUGGGGGAAAGCCUGAUCCAGCCAUCCCGCGUGUAGGAAGAAGGCCGUCGGGUUGUAAAGUACUUUUGGCAGAGAAGCGGUAUCUGCAGAAGAAGCACCGGCUAACUCCGUGCCAGCAGCCGCGGUAAUAC